GACGAACGCUGGCGGUGUGCUUAACACAUGCAAGUCGAACGGAAAGGCCCUGCUUUUGUGGGGUGCUCGAGUGGCGAACGGGUGAGUAACACGUGAGUAACCUGCCCUUGACUUUGAGAUAACUUCAGGAAACUGGGGCUAAUACCGGAUAGGAGCUCCUGCUGCAUGGUGGGGGUUGGAAAGUUUCGGCGGUUGGGGAUGGACUCGCGGCUUAUCAGCUUGUUGGUGGGGUAGUGGCUUACCAAGGCUUUGACGGGUAGCCGGCCUGAGAGGGUGACCGGCCACAUUGGGACUGAGAUACGGCCCAGACUCCUACGGGAGGCAGCAGUGGGGAAUAUUGCACAAUGGGCGGAAGCCUGAUGCAGCAACGCCGCGUGCGGGAUGACGGCCUUCGGGUUGUAAACCGCUUUCGCCUGUGACGAAGCGUGAGUGACGGUAAUGGGUAAAGAAGCACCGGCUAACUACGU
rnacentral:rRNA from 1 species